GGGCCCGCACAAGCGGUGGAGCAUGUGGUUUAAUUCGAUGAUACGCGAGGAACCUUACCAGGGCUUAAAUGUAGUAUGACCGGCUUGGAAACAGGCCUUCUCUUCGGAGCAGAUUACAAGGUGCUGCAUGGUUGUCGUCAGCUCGUGCCGUGAGGUGUUAGGUUAAGUCCUGCAACGAGCGCAACCCCUAUUCUUAGUUGCCAGCGGUUCGGCCGGGGACUCUAAGAAGACUGCCAGCGCAAGCUGAGAGGAAGGUGGGGAUGACGUCAAAUCAUCACGGCCCUUACGUCCUGGGCUACACACGUGCUACAAUGGCAAGUACAACGAGUCGCAAUACCGCGAGGUGGAGCA
rnacentral:rRNA from 1 species